rnacentral:rRNA from 1 species
GACGAACGCUGGCGGCGUGCUUAACACAUGCAAGUCGAACGGUAAGGCCCUUCGGGGUACACGAGUGGCGAACGGGUGAGUAACACGUGGGUGAUCUGCCCUGCACUUCGGGAUAAGCCUGGGAAACUGGGUCUAAUACCGGAUAGGACCACUGCCUGCAUGGGGGGUGGUGGAAAGCUUUUGCGGUGUGGGAUGGGCCCGCGGCCUAUCAGCUUGUUGGUGGGGUGAUGGCCGACCAAGGCGACGACGGGUGGCCGGCCUGAGAGGGUGACCGGCCACACUGGGACUGAGAUACGGCCCAGACUCCUACGGGAGGCAGCAGUGGGGAAUAUUGCACAAUGGGCGCAAGCCUGAUGCAGCGACGCCGCGUGAGGGAUGACGGCCUUCGGGUUGUAAACCUCUUUCAGCACCGACGAAGCGCAAGUGACGGUAGGUGCAGAAGAAGGACCGGCCAACUACGUGCCAGCAGCCGCCGUAA